rnacentral:rRNA from 1 species
GGCGCGAGCAGGUGCGAAAGCAGGUCAUAGUGAUCCGGUGGUUCUGAAUGGAAGGGCCAUCGCUCAACGGAUAAAAGGUACUCCGGGGAUAACAGGCUGAUACCGCCCAAGAGUUCAUAUCGACGGCGGUGUUUGGCACCUCGAUGUCGGCUCAUCACAUCCUGGGGCUGAAGUAGGUCCCAAGGGUAUGGCUGUUCGCCAUUUAAAGUGGUACGCGAGCUGGGUUUAGAACGUCGUGAGACAGUUCGGUCCCUAUCUGCCGUGGGCGCUGGAGAACUGAGGGGGGCUGCUCCUAGUACGAGAGGACCGGAGUGGACGCAUCACUGGUGUUCGGGUUGUCAUGCCAAUGGCACUGCCCGGUAGCUAAAUGCGGAAGAGAUAAGUGCUGAAAGCAUCUAAGCACGAAACUUGCCCCGAGAUGAGUUCUCCCUGACCCUUUAAGGGUCCUGAAGGAACGUUGAAGACGACGACGUUGAUAGGCCGGGUGUGUAAGCGCAGCGAUGCGUUGAGCUAACCGGUACUAAUGAACCGUGAGGCUUAACCUUACAACGCCGAAG